GACGGAGGAUGCAAGUGUUAUCCGGAAUCACUGGGCGUAAAGCGUCUGUAGGUGGUUCAAUAAGUCAACUGUUAAAUCUUGAGGCUCAACUUCAAAAUCGCAGUCGAAACUAUUGGACUCGAGUAUAGUAGGGGUAAAGGGAAUUUCCAGUGGAGCGGUGAAAUGCGUAGAGAUUGGAAAGAACACCAAUGGCGAAAGCACUUUACUGGGCUAUUACUGACACUGAGAGACGGAAGCUAGGGUAGCAAAUGGG
rnacentral:rRNA from 1 species